CACGGGGGGGCAAGCGUUGUUCGGAAUUACUGGGCGUAAAGGCUCGUAGGCGGCCAACUAAGUCGGACGUGAAAUCCCCAGGCUCAACCUGGGAACUGGCGUCCUGAUACUGGAUGGCGUUGAAUCCGGGAGAGGGAUGCAGGAAUUCCAGGUGUAGCGGUGAAAUGACGUAGAUAUCUGGAGGAAUACCGGUGGCGAAGGCGGCAUCCUGGACCGGCUAUUGACGCUGAGGAGCGAAAAGCCAGGGGAGCAAAGCGGG
rnacentral:rRNA from 1 species